GGCAAUUUACUGAAAGGUCUCGCCCAAUUUGGUGGAUUAAAGAGCUUGAAUCAGAGUGAGUGCCACUAUUCUUCUGCUUAUCUGAGUGUUCUUCUUGACAGAGCGAAAGAUCGUGAAGGCACUGCAUGGCUUCUUCCUUCUCUUGGUCAUCAAGCAGCUUGGAUGACUUCCUCAAACCAGUGUCUGCUACAUCCUCCAAAGGACGCUUUCCCUUUGAGUGUUCAAUAACUUGGAAAGCAUAGUAUAUCCACUUGCUCGCUUGCUCGCACGCACAAGGCAAGUCCCUUGAAACAUGAUACGAUUCCUCCAACAUGACGCUUGAU
rnacentral:misc_RNA from 1 species